rnacentral:snRNA from 1 species
AGUUUGACAUUUUGACUUAAGAAUUUUGCAAAGUCAUUGAUCCCCAGGGUUGGUUUGGCUGCUCUAGCGGGCUGGGCAGUGUCUCCUCCUUUCUCCCUCACUGCUCCCUGUGUGUCCUCCCAAAGCUGCAGGCUCUGGUUGGGGAAGAGGACCACCUCCUGGUCAAGGGUAUACGAAUAGCUGCACUGCUCCUAACGAGCUCUCCAAGUGACCUGGAAGCCGGGCAUCUUUGCAUUGCUUAACAGCAGCACAGAUUAUAUGAGAUACAUUUUUGACUGC